rnacentral:rRNA from 1 species
AUUGAACGCUGGCGGCAUGCCUUACACAUGCAAGUCGAACGGCAGCACGGGUGCUUGCACCUGGUGGCGAGUGGCGAACGGGUGAGUAAUACAUCGGAACAUGUCCUGUAGUGGGGGAUAGCCCGGCGAAAGCCGGAUUAAUACCGCAUACGAUCUACGGAUGAAAGCGGGGGACCUUCGGGCCUCGCGCUAUAGGGUUGGCCGAUGGCUGAUUAGCUAGUUGGUGGGGUAAAGGCCUACCAAGGCGACGAUCAGUAGCUGGUCUGAGAGGACGACCAGCCACACUGGGACUGAGACACGGCCCAGACUCCUACGGGAGGCAGCAGUGGGGAAUUUUGGACAAUGGGCGAAAGCCUGAUCCAGCAAUGCCGCGUGUGUGAAGAAGGCCUUCGGGUUGUAAAGCACUUUUGUCCGGAAAGAAAUCCUUGGCUCUAAUACAGUCGGGGGAUGACGGUACCGGAAGAAUAAGCACCGGCUAACUACAUG